GUUCCACGAUCAGGCUCUGGUCCGUGACGGGAUGGCAGAAAACUUCUUGAUUGUCGGGGACCGGUCGGAGGUCGCUGGAGUGAGGCGAGGGCCAGUCUCCUUGACCUGAUAACAGGAACUCAUGACUUUAACUGGACAAAUGAGGUGGUUAAUGAUGAACUUAUGAGAGAACCUGUUCUGUCUGGCUUUCUCAGAGGAAGCAGGUAGGUUGGGAGUUUGCCAAAUGGGUAUGAUGAAAAGGUCAUAGCUCAAGUGAAGGGGCUUUGGAAAGGCUGUUACUGGAAGCUGGAUAAGGAGGGAAGAAAUGGAGCAAUGGAUUAGGGUAAAGUAAUUAUUGCAUUGGAGGUCCUAAUUACAUUGAAAUCUCAGAGUAUUGUAGAUAAAGAAGCAAGAUGGAAGGAAAGGGCCGGGCACGGUGGCUCAUGCCUGUCAUCCCAGCACUUUGG